rnacentral:tRNA from 1 species
UGCCCCUGUAGAUAUAGUUUAACAUAAAACAUUAGUCUGUGGACCUAAAAAUAGAAGUUAAAAUCUUCUUAUAAACC